UAGGGAAUCUUCCACAAUGGACGCAAGUCUGAUGGAGCAACGCCGCGUGAGUGAAGAAGGCUUUCGGGUCGUAAAACUCUGUUAUUGAAGAAGAACGUGUGUGACAGUAACUGGUCAUGCAGUGACGGUAUUCAAUCAGAAAGUCACGGCUAACUACGUGCCAGCAGCCGCGGUAAUACGUAGGUGGCAAGCGUUGUCCGGAUUUAUUGGGCGUAAAGCGAGUGCAGGCGGUCUUUUAAGUCUGAUGUGAAAGCCUUCGGCUUAACCGAGGAAGGGCAUCGGAAACUGGGAGACUUGAGUGCAGAAGAGGAGAGUGGAACUCCAUGUGUAGCGGUGAAAUGCGUAGAUAUAUGGAAGAACACCAGUGGCGAAGGCGGCUCUCUGGUCUGUAACUGACGCUGAGGCUCGAAAGCGUGGGUAGCAAACAGGAUUAGAUACCCUGGUAGUC
rnacentral:rRNA from 1 species